GGGCAAUAUGCCUCGUUAGCACGUUAUGGCAAUAUGCCUCAGCGGCAUGUUGAAGUUGACAUGUUGAGACAAUAUGUCAUGAGAGUGUUUUGUGGCAACAUGUGUUUAAUCCGUCUUGGAAUAUAUGAACGCUAUCAAUGUCUCCAAGACCAGAUAGCAUAAUCCCAUAAAGGAAGGUUCAGAUAGGGCAAGAAGAAGCUUAUCAAGCAAGGCAACGAAGAAGCUUGUCGGACAAAGCAAGGAAGAUGCUUACUAGUAAUGACUCCCGAGUAUAUUC
rnacentral:lncRNA from 1 species